rnacentral:rRNA from 1 species
GUCCAGACUCCUACGGGAGGCAGCAGUGGGGAAUAUUGCACAAUGGGGGAAACCCUGAUGCAGCGACGCCGCGUGAGUGAAGAAGUAUUUCGGUAUGUAAAGCUCUAUCAGCAGGGAAGAAAAUGACGGUACCUGACUAAGAAGCUCCGGCUAACUACGUGCCAGCAGCCGCGGUAAUACGUAGGGGGCAAGCGUUAUCCGGAUUUACUGGGUGUAAAGGGAGCGUAGACGGCAUGGCAAGUCAGAUGUGAAAGCCCGGGGCUCAACCCCGGGACUGCAUUUGAAACUGUCAGGCUGGAGUGCAGGAGAGGUAAGUGGAAUUCCUAGUGUAGCGGUGAAAUGCGUAGAUAUUAGGAGGAACACCAGUGGCGAAGGCGGCUUACUGGACUGUAACUGACGUUGAGGCUCGAAAGCGUGGGGAGCAAACAGGAUUAGAUACCCGGGUA